CCUACGGGUGGCAGCAGUGAGGAAUCUUGGUCAAUGGACGAGAGUCUGAACCAGCCAAGUAGCGUGAAGGAUGACUGCCCUAUGGGUUGUAAAAUUCUUUUAUAUGGGAAUAAAACGUUCCACGUGUGGGAUUUUGUAUGUACCAUAUGAAUAAGGAUCGGCUAACUCCGUUCCAGCAGCCGCGGUAAUACGGAGGAUGCGAGCGUUAUCCGGAGUUAUUGGGUUUAAAGGGAGCGUAGGUGGAUUGUUAAGUCAGUUGUGAAAGUUUGCGGCUCAACCGUAAAAUUGCAGUUGAAACUGGCAGUCUUGAGUGCAGUAGAGGUGGGCGGAAUUCGUGGUGUAGCGGUGAAAUGCUUAGAUAUCACGAAGAACUCCGAUUGCGAAGGCAGUUCACUGGACUGCAACUGACACUGAGGCUCGAAAGUGUGGGUAUCAAACAGGAUUAGAUACCCUUGUAGUC
rnacentral:rRNA from 1 species